rnacentral:misc_RNA from 1 species
UCUCCGUUGGUGAACCAGCGGAGGGAUCAUUACCGGGUUAUACCAACUCCCAAACCUCUGUGAACAUACCACACGUUGCUUCGGCGGACCGCCCCGGCGCCCGAAUCCCCCCGGGGAGGAGGCCCGGAGCCAGGCGCCCGCCGGGGGACCCAAACUCUUGCCUUCGCCCUCAGCGGAAUCUCCUUCUGAGUAAAGAAAACAGAUGAAUCAAAACUUUCAACAACGGAUCUCUUGGUUCUG